GCUGACUGACUCUGUGUGUUUGCAUAUGUGUCCUGCCUCUCUGCUCCCUGCUGUUAAGAGACCAGUGUUGAUCAGUGGCUGUCCAGGCCUUUCAGAGCCACUGACACGCUGACAGCACCAUGAUGAUGUCACUGAUUCUACUGCUGGCCACCCUGGGGCUCCUUGUUCAGGAUUCAUCAGGAGAAAUCAUCCUGACUCAGUCUCCUGGAUCUCAGUCUGUUGUUCCAGGACAGACUGUCUCUAUCAGAUGUAAAGCCAGUUCAGAUAUGAGCCACUACCUUCACUGGUGCCUUCAGAAACCUGGAGAGUCUCCGAAACUUCUAAUUUAUUAUGCUACAGCUCGUCAGUCUGGUGUUUCAGAUCGUUUCAGUGGAAGUGGAUCUGGGACUGACUUCACUCUGACCAUCAAUGGAGUUCAGACUGAAGAUGCAGGAGUUUAUUACUGUCAGCAGGGAGGUUACAGCUGGCCGUUCCCACAGUGAUACAACGUCGUACAAAAACCUCUUCAUUUGGAGAGGAACUGAUCUGACUCAACAGCUGCACAGACACUGAAACACUAGUUAUAUAUUAAUAGUUCUAAUGACUGUUGUUGUGUAAAUGAGA